GCCGCAGCUUAGUGUGAUAUAUUUUAUUUAUGGUAAAUAAAGACAAAAGUCUAAAAGUUCAGACACCAACAAAAGGAAAGCAACAACAAACAAAUAAAUGAAGCCGACAACCCUAAAUCAAUCCUCUUCUUCAGCUCGUCUUCAGUCAAUCUUCAUUAAUCCACCAAGAUUUGUCCCCAUCGAUGAAGAACAAUACCGGCUUGUGAAGAUCCGAUGUUCAAAUAUCAGCUACUUCAGCUCCUCUUCAAUGGAUCUUCUAUUAUCCCCAUCGAUGAAGAAAGUACUAUUUCCAGCUUGUCAUCAGCUACUGCAGCUCCUCUUCAAUCGAUCUUCAAUUGUACACCAAGAUUCGUCCCCAUCGAUGAAGAAAAUACGAUUUCCAGAUUUCUCUCACACCAGAAGUAUAUUCAAGACGCUCUUCAACGUGACACAAUUAGUUUGGCGAAAGAAUCACGUUUGCGGCAAGUCGGAAUUUCAAGAAAAGAUUCUGAGCGAAACGGGACUUGAGUUUUGGGCGAGCGUAAGACACAUAUAAGGUACAGACGCCGGUGAUCCACCACUGUAGGCUCCACUUCUGCUAUUUUGGAGUACUCCCUUUGAUUCGGAGUCCACUUUCGGUAUAUAUAUCUUUUGCCAUGUAUAUAUUUUUUUGUAUAUCUGACUAUUUGGGUACGGCGGGGCCCUGUCCCGUCAUAUGGUUCUGUCGGUCAGUUUAGAGGUCUGUGGACAUGUCUGUGGGUUAUGGUCUUUCGGUAUGGAUAUGUGUAUAUGUUGUUGGGCGAUCCCCUACGCCGAGGCGGCCGGUCCGCAUAUGUUUAUACGUUGCUUUGUUUGCUGUGUACAGGGUUAUUCUGGAUAGUCCGAAAAACAAAGGAAACUCUGCCGAAAUUUUUCUGGAAAU